CUCUAGAUCAAAUGAGAAAUUCAGCAAACCGCCAGCGAGAGUGGAGUCUGUUUAAUGCUCGGUUCGCUUCAGUGCAGCUUAAAGCAGAGGCAAAUACACUCAUCACUAUGAAAAUGCUUGGCUGAGAUGUUGAGUCUCCCUCUGCAGACAACCCUAAAUGCUUCUGUUUCCAUCUCUGUGACGAGGUGCACAAAGGCAAUUUCUGAAAGUGGAAGCGGCUCGCCUUAAAGCCGCUGAUUCUCCAGGGCCGGAUAGCAGCGGAAACAAGCAGCUCAUUGAUGCCAGAGUGUCACCCUGACAGACAGACAGACAGACAGACCACUUUAGUACAAGCAGCAACAAAGGGGCCAGUCCACAGCCACGUUGCCAAUUAGCAGGAAUUUCGGCCUCAAGAGCCACUCCCCCCCUCCUCCUCCUCCUCCUCCUAGUCUCAUUGGAGCUGACAGAAAUAUCUAUGGCCCUCACUGGAAGGCAUUCAUGGGAUUCCAAGGAGCAUUAGGUCCCCUCUGUGGAGCCUGAAAUCUGGCAGUUAGAAAGGACAAUGGGCCAUCUCGUACCACUUUGAGAAACACUUCUCACUCACUGGCUGGCGUCAUCGCCGGGAUCGCAGGAGGCAUGCUAAUAGCCUUGUGAAAGUGGCAACAUUUGUCUUGGCUUCACAGCAGGUGGAAACAUUUAUCGUGAACCAUGUAUCCCCUUGAAACCGUGUCAGAAGCGUGAACUGAGCAAAAUGUAUGACAGCAAUCACCAAGCAGCACGGCUUCACGCUCAGCAUCAGUUCAUGUCACCGGUCCAACAUCAAACAUAAGGACACCGAAUCCAUCUGUGGGCCAUAAUAUGUUUUUCAUUCCGGCUGCCAAACAUCCUAAUUCCUUCAGGAAAAUACAAAAACACACACACACACACACGCAGGCCAAAAAAAAAAAUCUAUGGAGGAUUAGUCUAAUGCACUACUGAUAAUCAAAUGUAAUAGCAACUUUAUUUCAUUAAAACACUAUUGAUGGCAGUAUAAAAAUAAAUGUUCAGAUUCAGAAAGGAUUACUGUAGUAGAGAAAAAAAAACAAGCGGAGGGGUUUAUACACAAUAUUUUAAGCUGCAACAACACACUGUCACAGCGGUGCAGCAGGUUUUAGAGCGCCUGUCAGCAGCACAAGGGCUGCGCCAACUGACAUCUCUAACUGCCAUGAUGGCAAAUAUGUCAUGCAGUGACGUCUUGCACAAACCGAUACUUAAGUGUCUGAGAGGAAAAUCUCGUCUAGACGCUAAAACCUGGUCUAAUUUUCUGUGUGAAUGACAACAGGCUUGGUUAGCAGAUCUGUGGGGUGAUCCUGGAUCAGCAGUCUGGCUGGAGGAGUCAGGACUCGUGUGUAGAGUUUAUACAGGCCUAUGGAUAGUCAGUGUUAAGACACAAACAAUACAGACUGAAUCCAUAUGCUCUGAGGGACAGCUUUGCUCAACACAAUACACACUGUACAGCUAAUAUGAGGCCAAUGCACACCUCACCUCUUCUUUUAAUCGGCACCGCCACAUUAGAGUCAGUAUCUGAACUUAAAGUCAUGUUGAGUGGAAGAAACUAAUCCUAAGCACAUGACAGCCACGUCUUCAAAGUGAGUGGGAUCCUAAGAAGGAAAGUCUGCGGCAUUCGGAGUGAACAAAAGCAAAUGAUGUCCACAGAGCUUAUUUGUGUCCUCUGAUGUUCUCCCUUUCACAUAAAACAAAACAAGUACAGCAGGUAGCCCAUAAAAGUCUGAGUGCAGAGAGCUGCCAAGUUUCAGCCGUGAAGGCUUCCACCCAGGGAGCCUCUUCCCCCAAAACCAGGGAUAGGUGUGGUGAUGGUUUCCCAGAGCAGUGCAAAGGAGGCAUGGAGCCCCAGUUUCUACAGCAUGUUGGAGGAGCCCUGCUGACUGUCAGAGCUGCUGCUACAGCUGCAACCAGUCAUUUCAGUGGAUUACAAGGCGAGAAAACUGCAGCCUGAGAUGGAACCGUGUCGGUGAAACACCAAGUUUACUCACCCUGAAGCUGCCGGAGAUUUGGCGUCGUCGCUCUUCAGCCGAUCAGACAGGCGGCUGUCGCAUCAAACCAUUCAUAAACUGAUUAGAGAGACUGAAAGCGCACAGAUCCUAAAAUUGGGAGCAGCGGAGACGGUCGGUGCCAGAAGCCAGCGACGGAGAGAGGCGACGAGGAUCCCAUUGAAGUGGAGGGUCGGCCCGGUGAGGAAGCCUCCGGAGCUACGGACACAUCUUCCAUUCACCAGAGCAGAGGAAGACAGCAGGAAGACUCGGAUGCUGGUGGGAACCCGGAGCUUUCCGUGCAGAAGCAGCAGCAGCCGACAGCCUGCUUGAAGGCAGCGACACCAAA